CCCUGCCAUUUGUACACACCGCCCGUCGCACCUACCGAUUGGAUGGUCCGGUGAAGCCUCGGGAUUGUGACUGUUGCCUUUAUUGGUGUCGGUUGCGAGAACUUGUCUAAACCUUAUCAUCUAGAGGA
rnacentral:rRNA from 1 species